rnacentral:rRNA from 1 species
GAUGAACGCUGGCGGCGUGCCUAAUACAUGCAAGUCGAGCGAACGGACGAGAAGCUUGCUUCUCUGAUGUUAGCGGCGGACGGGUGAGUAACACGUGGAUAACCUACCUAUAAGACUGGGAUAACUUCGGGAAACCGUAGCUAAUACCGGAUAAUAUUUUGAACCGCAUGGUUCAAAAGUGAAAGACGGUCUUGCUGUCACUUAUAGAUGGAUCCGCGCUGCAUUAGCUAGUUGGUAAGGUAACGGCUUACCAAGGCAACGAUGCAUAGCCGACCUGAGAGGGUGAUCGGCCACACUGGAACUGAGACACGGUCCAGACUCCUACGGGAGGCAGCAGUAGGGAAUCUUCCGCAAUGGGCGAAAGCCUGACGGAGCAACGCCGCGUGAGUGAUGAAGGUCUUCGGAUCGUAAAACUCUGUUAUUAGGGAAGAACAUAUGUGUAAGUAACUGUGCACAUCUUGACGGUACGUAAUCAGAAAGCCACGGCUAACUACGUG